CACAUUCAUUUAAACAUGAUAAAGAACUUCGUUCACCCACAAAAUCUUACCAAAAUUCACAAUAUACCCAUACACAAUAACAACAACAAACGCUACAACAGCGUACAACAUGAAGGUUAACAGACAAAAACGUUAACAGCAAAAUAAACAACGCCAAAUAACGCACAGCAGCAACGGCACACAGCCCUCACGACACCAAAUUUCAUUGCACAUAAAUCUUAUGUCCCUUGAGUCUCUACAGCAAACAAUCCCAGCAACAUUAUUAUUACGAUAACGCUAACAAAGAAAUAAUUACGAUAAAAGAAACCGAAAGAGAAUGAUGUUUACCUUUCCCCGGGCAGCGAAUCAGAACAGCGAGUCGAUGACGACUUCCAAUCGGAGUUUAAAUUUCAAAUUUUUGGAAUUUAAUUUCCGUCGGAAUUGAGUUUUUGAGUACGUUUCUUCAAGAAUCUUAUGGGUUACAUAGGAUUAAAAGCACGCGCCUCAUGAAUCCUCAAUUUUUCCUCCAAAAAAUCCUCCUUCCUUCACUCUACGGACAUGGGUAUUUAUAGGGGAUUUGACAGACUUUGGGGGAAACUGAGGGGUAAAAAGGGAAAAAUGAAUUGAUAUUUGAAUUUUAAAAAUUGAGAUGAGGUUGCUGAGCUGCUUUUGCCAUUGUUGUACUGUUGUUGCGUUUAUAUUGUUUCUGUUAUCGCAGUUGUCGUUGAAAGUUGUUGUUGUCAUUUGUGUUGAAAUUGUUGUUCUGGAUUGCUGACUGCUGUUGAAGUUGGAAUUGUUUUGCGUUGAUGGUUUGCUGAAACUGGUGUUGGAUGGGUCGGGUUUUGUCCGUUGAAAUUGUUGUUCUUGAAAUUGUUGGCUGUUAUUGUUGGUUUUUGUAGGCUGAGGGGAUAUAAGGGGAAAGGGAAC
rnacentral:lncRNA from 1 species